GCUGUGGGCCUGAUCCAAAGCCCAGUGAAGUCAACUGGAAUUCUUCCAUUAAUUUCAGUGGGAUUUGGAUCAGGCCCAACAAGC
rnacentral:pre_miRNA from 1 species